AUCCAGCUGAUGAAUCCCAAAUAGGAUGAAACGCGCUUUCUGGAU
rnacentral:hammerhead_ribozyme from 1 species